UAGGGAAUCUUCGGCAAUGGGGGGAACCCUGACCGAGCAACGCCGCGUGAGUGAAGAAGGUUUUCGGAUCGUAAAGCUCUGUUGUUAAGGAAGAACGAGUGUGAGAAUGGAAAGUUCAUGCUGUGACGGUACUUAACCAGAAAGGGACGGCUAACUACGUGCCAGCAGCCGCGGUAAUACGUAGGUCCCGAGCGUUGUCCGGAUUUAUUGGGCGUAAAGCGAGCGCAGGCGGUUAGAAAAGUCUGAAGUGAAAGGCAGUGGCUCAACCAUGGUAAGCUUUGGAAACUGUUUAACUUGAGUGCAGAAGGGGAGAGUGGAAUUCCAUGUGUGGCGAUGAAAUGCGUAUAUAUAUGGGGGAAAACCGGUGGCGAAAGCGGCUCUCUGUUCUGUAACUGACGCUGAGGCUCGAAAGCGUGGGGAGCGAACAGG
rnacentral:rRNA from 1 species